GUCUCAGUAGCUCAGUUGGAUAGAGCACACGCCUCCUAAGCGGCAGAUGGUUCGAUUCCUUUGAGCCU
rnacentral:tRNA from 1 species